rnacentral:rRNA from 1 species
CGGUAAUUCCAGCUCCAAUAGCGUAUAUUAAAGUUGUUGCCGUUAAAAAGCUCGUAGUCGAACUUCGGCCUUUGCCGCCCGGUCCGCCCUAUGGGUGUGUACUGGAGCGGUGGAGGCUUACCUCGUGGUGAACGGCCAUGCUCUUUACUGGGUGUGGUCGGGAACCAUGAUUUUUACCUUGAAAAAAUUAGAGUGUUCAAAGCAGGCUUACGCCCGAAUACAUUAGCAUGGAAUAAUAAAAUAGGACGUGCGGUUCUAUUUUGUUGGUUUCUAGAAUCGCCGUAAUGAUUAAUAGGGAUAGUUGGGGGCAUUCGUAUUCAAUUGCUAGAGGUGAAAUUCUUGGAUUUAUUGAAGACGAACUACUGCGAAAGCAUUUGCCAAGGAUGUUUUCAUUGAUCAAGAACGAAGGUUAGGGGAUCGAAAACGGUCAGAUACCGUUGUAGUCUUAACAGUAAACGAUGCCGACUAGGGAUCGGACGAGGAUUUUUAAUGACUCGUUCGGCACCUGAAGAGAAAUCUUUAAGUCUAGGUUCGGGGGGGAGUAUGGUCGCAAGGCUGAAACUUAAAGGAAUUGACGGAAGGGCACCACCAGGUGUGGAGCCUGCGGCUUAAUUUGACUCAACACGGGGAAACUCACCAGGUCCAGACACGACAAGGAUUGACAGAUUGAUAGCUCUUUCUUGAUUUCGUGGUAGGUGGUGCAUGGCCGUUCUUAGUUGGUGGAGUGAUUUGUCUGGUUAAUUCCGAUAACGAACGAGACCUUAACCUGCUAAAUAGCCCGGCCGACUUUGGUUGGUCGCUGGCUUCUUAGAGGGACUAUCAGCGUUUAGCUGAUGGAAGUUUGAGGCAAUAACAGGUCUGUGAUGCCCUUAGAUGUUCCGGGCCGCACGCGCGCUACACUGACCGAACCAGCGAGUUUAUCACCUUGGCCGGAAGGCCUGGGUAAUCUUGUGAAACUCGGUCGUGAUGGGGAUAGAGCAUUGCAAUUAUUGCUCUUCAACGAGGAAUACCUAGUAAGCGUGAGUCAUCAGCUCGCGUUGAAUUCGUCCCUGCCCUUUGUACACACCGCCCGUCGCUACUACCGAUUGAAUGGCUUAGUGAGGUCUCCGGAUUGGCUUCUGGGAGCCGGCAACGGCACCUAGUCGCUGAGAAGUUGAACGAACUUGGUCAUUUAGAGGAAGUAAAAGUCGUAACAAGGUAGCCG